rnacentral:rRNA from 1 species
CAAUAGCGUAUAUUAAAGUUGUUGCGGUUAAAAAGCUCGUAGUUGGAUCUCGGCAGGCAGGGGGUGGUUCGCUCUUAGCGCUACUGCCCCAUUUGCCUGUGUGAUUGGCGGAGGUUUCGGGGUGCUCUUCGUUGAGUGACCCGGGGCGCCGUCAGGUUUACUUUGAAAAAAUUAGAGUGCACAAAGCAGGCUUUUCACGCUUGAAUAUUCGUGCAUGGAAUAAUGGAAUAGGAACUCGUUUCUAUUUUGUUGGUUUUCGGAAAUCGAGUUAAUGAUUAAUAGGGACAAUUGGGGGCAUUAGUAUUCAGACGACAGAGGUGAAAUUCUUGGACCGUCUGAAGACUAACUACUGCGAAAGCAUUUGCCAAGAGUGUUUUCAUUAA